CUGUGUGGAUAGUGUUCAGAACAAAGGACAUGUGUGUUCCCUGUGUGUGGAUGGUGUUCAGCAGCAGGGACAGAUGUGUUUACCA
rfam:Branchiostoma floridae genomic scaffold BRAFLscaffold_98, whole genome shotgun sequence.